GACGAACGCUGGCGGCGUGCCUAAUACAUGCAAGUCGAGCGCAGGAAACUGACGGAACUCUUCGGAGGGAAGGCAGCGGAAUGAGCGGCGGACGGGUGAGUAACACGUAAGGAACCUGCCUCAAGGAUUGGGAUAACUCCGAGAAAUCGGAGCUAAUACCGGAUAGUUCAACGGACCGCAUGGUCCGCUGAUGAAAGGCGCUCCGGCGUCACCUUGAGAUGGCCUUGCGGUGCAUUAGCUAGUUGGUGGGGUAACGGCCCACCAAGGCGACGAUGCAUAGCCGACCUGAGAGGGUGAUCGGCCACACUGGGACUGAGACACGGCCCAGACUCCUACGGGAGGCAGCAGUAGGGAAUCUUCCACAAUGGACGAAAGUCUGAUGGAGCAACGCCGCGUGAGUGAUGAAGGUUAUCGGAUCGUAAAACUCUGUUGUAAGGGAAGAACACGUACGAGAGGAAAUGCUCGUACCUUGACGGUACCUUACGAGAAAGCCACGGCUAACUACGUGCCAGCCGCCGCCGUAAGAC
rnacentral:rRNA from 1 species